AUUGAACGCUGGCGGCAUGCCUUACACAUGCAAGUCGAACGGCAGCACGGACUUCGGUCUGGUGGCGAGUGGCGAACGGGUGAGUAAUGUAUCGGAACGUACCUUUCAGUGGGGGAUAACGUAGCGAAAGUUACGCUAAUACCGCAUAUUCUGUGAGCAGGAAAGCAGGGGAUCGAAAGACCUUGCGCUGAUUGAGCGGCCGAUAUCAGAUUAGCUAGUUGGUGGGGUAAAGGCCUACCAAGGCGACGAUCUGUAGCGGGUCUGAGAGGAUGAUCUGCCACACUGGAAGUGAGACACGGUCCAGACGCCUACGGGAGGCAGCAGUGGGGAAUGGUGGACAGAGGGGGCAAACCUGGUCCAGCGAUGCGGCGUGAGUGAAGAAGGCCUUCGGGUUGUAAAGCUCGUUCGGCCGGGAAGAAAUCGCAUAGGCUGAUACCCUGCGUGGAUGACGGUACCGGAAUAAGAAGCACCGGCUAACUACGUG
rnacentral:rRNA from 1 species